UAAUACAUGCAAGUCGAGCGAACAGACAAGGAGCUUGCUCCUUUGACGUUAGCGGCGGACGGGUGAGUAACACGUGGGUAACCUACCUAUAAGACUGGGAUAACUUCGGGAAACCGGAGCUAAUACCGGAUAAUAUUUCGAACCGCAUGGUUCGAUAGUGAAAGAUGGUUUUGCUAUCACUUAUAGAUGGACCCGCGCCGUAUUAGCUAGUUGGUAAGGUAACGGCUUACCAAGGCGACGAUACGUAGCCGACCUGAGAGGGUGAUCGGCCACACUGGAACUGAGACACGGUCCAGACUCCUACGGGAGGCAGCAGUAGGGAAUCUUCCGCAAUGGGCGAAAGCCUGACGGAGCAACGCCGCGUGAGUGAUGAAGGGUCUUCGGAUCGUAAAACUCUGUUAUUAGGGAAGAACAUACGUGUAAGUAACUAUGCACGUCUUGACGGUACCUAAUCAGAAAGCCACGGCUAACUACGUGCCAGCAGCCGCGGGUAAUACGUAGGUGGCAAGCGUUAUCCGGAAUUAUUGGGCGUAAAGCGCGCGUAGGCGGUUUAAGUCUGAUGUGAAAGCCCACGGCUCAACCGUGGAGGGUCAUUGGAAACUGGAAAACUUGAGUGCAGAAGAGGAAAGUGGAAUUCCAUGUGUAGCGGUGAAAUGCGCAGAGAUAUGGAGGAACACCAGUGGCGAAGGCGACUUUCUGGUCUGUAACUGACGCUGAUGUGCGAAAAGCGUGGGGAUCAAACAGGGAUUAGAUACCCUGGUAGUCCACGCCGUAAACGAUUAAGUGC
rnacentral:rRNA from 1 species